CGUAGCAACUCCCUCAUCUGUGGGGACAAUUCAGAUUGUUUCAAAACUGAGGGUAGCUACUUCUGUUUGUGUCAUCCUGGGUUUGAUGACUUUACUGGUGCCGCGCGACAAUGCUUGGACAUAGAGGAGUGUAAUAGAGACGGAGUAUGUGGAAUGGGGGAAUCUGCCAAAACCUGAUUGGCAGUUACUGGUGCCAGUGUCUUGCUGGAUUUACUAACUUUGGCAAAAACCAAACUAAGUGUGUAGGUGAGAGACAAGCACCAUUCCACCUGUUGUCCAUGAUGUACUCCUUUAUCAUGCACAGGUCUGUACAUAGUGUACUGUAGAAGGGUAUUGAGAUAACACUGUAUGUCUCCAUGUUUUAACUUUAGAGCUUAUUUGUGACCAGUAUGAAACACAGGCUGGACAGGUAAAGCUUUACUUUAGAAUUAUUACGUUAUUAAUUGAGAAAAGGGUAUUUUUCCUUGAUCUUGAAUGUCUUAUGCAUUUUCCCACUAAUGCACAUUCAAGUUUUCAUAACAAUCGGAAAUCGGUAUUUUUGGACACUGAUUUUUUUACACCUUUAUUUAUCCGUUAUUUAACUAGGCAAGUCAGUUAAGAACACAUUGUUAUUUUCAAUGAUGGUUUAGGAACGGUGGGUUAACUGCCUUGUUCAGGGGCAGAACUACAGAUUUUUACCUUGUCAGCUCGGGGAUUCAAUCUUGCAACCUUACAGUUAACUAGUCCAACGCUCUAACCACCUGAUUACAUUGCACUCCACGAGGAGACUGCGUGUUACACGAAUGCAGUAAGAAGCCACGGUGGCGAAUCGCAUCUCUGCAUGUCUGGCAGACAUAUCAGUGUGGAUGACGGAUCACCACCUCAAGCUGAACCUCGGCAAGACGGAGCUGCUCUUCCU